rnacentral:rRNA from 1 species
GACGAACGCUGGCGGCGUGCUUAACACAUGCAAGUCGAACGGGCCCGCUCUCUUUUUUGGGGGUGGGUUGAGUGGCGAACGGGUGAGUAUCACGUGAGUAACCUGCCCCCUGCUCCUGGAUAACUGCUUGAAAGGGCGGCUAAUACGGGGUGUGCCGGCUGUUCCGCAUGGGCCUGGUCGGGAUAGUUUCAUCUUCGGGUGUUUCGGUGGGGGAUGGGCUCGCGGCCUAUCAGCUUGUUGGUGGGGUGAUGGCCCACCAAGGCGGUGACGGGUAGCCGGCCUGAGAGGGUGGGCGGCCACACUGGGACUGAGACACGGCCCAGACUCCUGCGGGAGGCAGCAGUGGGGGGUAUUGCGCAAUGGGCGGAAGCCUGAUGCAGCGACGUCGCGUGAGGGAUGGAGGCCUUCGGGUUGUGAACCUCUUUCUCCGGUGGUGAAGGCCCUGUCCGUUGCGGCGGGGUUGACGGUAGCCGGGUAUGAAGCGCCGGCUAACUACGUG